rnacentral:lncRNA from 13 species
UGAAAGAGUAGAGGUGGGGAGUGAUUACCUUGAAGCCAGUCCCAGCCCAGUGCUGGUUGAAAGAGUAGAGGUGAUUACCUUGAAGCCAGUCCCAGCCCAGUGCUGGUUGAAAGAGUAGAGGUGGGGAGUGAUUACCUUGAAGCCAGUCCCAGCCCAGUGCUGGUUGAAAGAGUAGAGGUGGGGAGUGAUUACCUUGAAGCCAGUCCCAGCCCAGUGCUGGUUGAAAGAGUAGAGGUGGGGAGUGAUUACCUUGAAGCCAGUCCCAGCCCAGUGCUGGUUGAAAGAGUAGAGGUGGGGAGUGAUUACCUUGAAGCCAGUCCCAGCCCAGUGCUGGUUGAAAGAGUAGAGGUGGGGAGUGAUUACCUUGAAGCCAGUCCCAGCCC